GUAAGGCACCGGCUCGAACUGGGGCGGGCCACUGCCAGGAAAGCACCGCCCCUGAAUGCUUAUAUCGGUGGUUGGAAGAGGAAAUGGAAUUCCCCGGACUGCUAGCCAAAUAUACUAAAAGCACAGGACUAGGCAUGAAGGUGGAGGGAGGAACCCAGAUUUGUUAUUGCUUCCCAUUUGUUUGAUACUGGCCUGGUUAUUUUCUGACCCCGUUUCUUCACCGCUAAACACUCCUUGAUUUGCUACUGGUACCUGGAAGAGAUGUAACACCCGACCAUGGGACAUCAAGUGACUGUGUGAAUCAAACUGCCCAUCAUGAAUUGUUGUUAUUUAACUCAACCAAACUGUACAACUGGAUGAGCACAGGAGCAGUGCACUACAUAUGGGACUGGAACCAUGAAUGAGCAGGUGACUCAGACUCCUAUAGUACCUGCCUCUAAUCCUUCAGCACUUGUCCCUCAACCCACAUAAACUGUCAUCACAAGGAGUUCCCUCUGAUCAGUUAAUGAAGAGAAAAAAGUAUGGAUAUUGUGGAUAUCCUAACAUCUCUCUGGCCAUUGGACCCCUAGAAACCUGUGACAAGUCCUGGAAGUUUUUCAAGGUUCAUCUUGCACCUUCUAGCAUGCGUAUGUCUUACCAAAGCAUGUAGAAUGCUGCCUACUUCUCAUCAGUUUCAUUUAAUAUAAUUUCAUUACUCUAAUAAAUCAGUGUGAUGUUCUAUGGAAUAGCAAGACCAUUAAGGUCCCUUCAUACAAUGUAGAGAACAGGAGAGUUGAUGUAGCCUGAGACAAGACAGUAAGGACUUACUGUUGUUCCUCCUAAAUGUAGUCUGUUUCUGAUUCUCCUUAUAAUUAGAAUUGGGGUGGGGGGACAUUUCCAGAUCAAUAUUAGUAUCAUGUCAACAUGUAUAUUAAUUUCUUCCAAAGAAGAUACCACACCUAGAACAGCAACCAUAAUUGGCAUCCCUACCUAAUUAAAGUUUGCAGUCCACUGUCAUUCUUCACUAGCCAUCUGGUUUUUAUACUUUCAUUCUCUCUGAUUCAUCUGGUGGCCACAGGAAAUUUAAAUGGGAAUGUGGUAUGAAUCACCAUGGCAGCAUGAUGGCACUAAUCUCUGCAAUUUCUUUUGGUUUUUCUAUUUUGCUUUUUAUGUUUUAUAGAAAUGGAGUCUUGCCAUGUUAUAUAGGCUGGUCUCAAACUCCUGGGGUCAAGUAAUCCUCCUGCCUUGGCCUCCCUAAGUGCUGGCGUUACAGGCAUGAGCCACUGUGCUUGGCCAAUCUCUGCCAUUUCUUCAGGGUAUAUCCCUGCUUUUCCUUUACUAUCUUAAUGAGGAGUGGUAGAAGGCAGACCUAAGCUGCUGUGUAGCACUUUCCAUCAUAAUAGCAAUCCCUCCAUGGAUCAGGAAACCAAAAUAAAGAUUGUUAUUAAAAGAUAUAUAUCACUACUACACAUCUAGGACUGGAGAAGUAACCACAGUAUGGGUCCUUCUGGAUCCACUGUCAGCCACAGCCAAGCCAAGAUUCCAUCACUUGACUUCCGUAGGUCCCCUAUUCUGACUAGUCGUCCAGGGUAGAGUUUUUGGUUUCUAGUAUUAGUACAAGUUAAGAGACAGUGCCUUAAGAAUUCUAGCCAGCCUGGCCAAGAUGCCGAAACCCCAUCUCUACCAAAAAUACAGAAAACUAGCUGGGAGUGGUGGUGCACGCCUGUAGUCCCAGCUAUUCGGGAGGCAGAGGUUGCAGUGAGCUGAG